AACGUAGGAGGCGAGCGUUAUCCGGAUUUAUUGGGUGUAAAGCGCGUGCAGGCGGUGGGCUAAGUUGGGUGUGAAAGCUCCCGGCUCAAUUGGGAGAGGUCGCUCAAGACUGGCCGACUGGAGAGCAGGAUGGGAAGGUGGAAUUCCGGGUGUAGUGGUGAAAUGCGUAGAUAUCCGGGGGAACACCAGUGGCGAAAGCGGCCUUCUGGACUGCAUCUGACGCUCAGACGCGAAAGCUAGGGGAG
rnacentral:rRNA from 1 species